UACGUAGGGGGCAAGCGUUGUCCGGAAUCAUUGGGCGUAAAGAGCGCGUAGGCGGCCCUGUAAGUCCGCUGUGAAAGUCAAGGGCUCAACCCUUGAAUGCCGGUGGAUACUGCAGGGCUAGAGUCCGGAAGAGGCGAGUGGAAUUCCUGGUGUAGCGGUGAAAUGCGCAGAUAUCAGGAGGAACACCAAUAGCGAAGGCAGCUCGCUGGGACGUUACUGACACUGAGGCGCGGAAGCGUGGGGAGCGAACAGG
rnacentral:rRNA from 1 species